CCUCUUUUUUCGUACCAAAGAAAGUUUAUAUUCAUAAAUAAAUUGUUCCUGCUUGUUUCAUUGGUUUUUUCCCAAGUCCUUACAUUAUAAGAGUUAUCACAUAGGAGAUAUUCAUUUUUCUGUUCUCUCUCUGCAUUUUCUUUGAGGAGUAUCCUAGUAGUAUCAUGAAUUCUUGUUGGACUAUCAAAUGAGUGCAAGUCGUUCAUCCUCAAGUCAAAUCAAUGUUGUUAAAGGCGCGAAGCGAGGCACAAACAUGUUGAGCAUUUGGCCUCACUUAGGUGCGCUUCAGUCUCGUCAUCAAGGCUCUAAGGCAUAUUUUUCCUUGUAAAUGAGCGUAAUCGUGAAGAGGAGACACCAAACAAUUAAUAUUUCACAUUAUGCCCGCGCGGUAUUUGUGGUUUCCCCCAACAGACCUUGGAGCAUUUUUUUUUUAUAAUACUGAUUCAAACGAGGAGGAUAUGUACUGGCACGGAAGAAGAUGAAGGAGCGGAUGCUUCCAAAAGAUUUCGCAGCCAUGAGAAAGUAAGACCAUUAGACCUUAUAAUUUAUUUCUUACAUAUGAGUAUUAUGAAUAGACAAACUCUGUUAUAACUGAUUAUCCUCCUAUGGAUCUAGGAGGCCAUAUGUUGUUGCCAAGAAACAGAAUGUCAUGAAUGGACUUUGAGAAUAUAGAAAGGUGAACAAUUUGGAAGAUCAUAUAGAAUAAGUUGAACCUAUUUGCUUUGAUUGCUUUCAAGACAAUUUUUAUGUCAAUGCGGAAAAGCUUCAAUGGAAAGAUUACUUAUUUUUUGCUAAGAUUAUUCAAAGUAUGCCAAAUGAUAUUGGGAAAUCCUGAUGGUUCCUUUUGCAAGUUUAAAUUUGUUAGAGGUUGAUGAAGUCCUUGGUUGGCAAAGGUCACCAUGUCAUGUAAUUGCACGCAAAACAUGAUUAAGACGCUUAGAUUCAUCUUAUUUUUCAUGUCUGCUUUUGGUAUACUGCUCGUAUACGGAAGUUUUUUUCCAUUUUUUUUUGGUAAUUAACUUGACAUUUUAUUACCAAAACCGGACGUAUUUACAGCUCAUAGAGGACAAAACUUAGGCUACACUAUGCUGGACAGGCUCAGCAUCAGUGAUCACCUUCUACCAAACUACUGGACAACUAACUGCAUUACAUAGGAUAAAAGUUAAAAGCUUGCAAUCUUCUAUCUAAUCUUUGUAUCAUACUACAUCUAGCAAUAAUCUCCUGUAUUAUCAUUCUAACUAUCACUUCCGGUUGUCUUCUAGUCUUCUGAAAAACUACUCUAUUCCUUUCUUGCCACACAUAGUAGAUUGCUGCAGCUAAAGCCACUAUGCAUAUAGUGGCUGCAGCUAAAGCCACUACUCUUGCUUCUUCUUCUGUCAAUCAUCCAGAGUACUUCAUCAUGCCAUCCAGCAGGUGCUCUGUGAAUACCUUGCCAAGUGAGAGUUGCUUUCCAUAUUUGUGCAGUGCCAGUACAAGUGAAGAAAAGGUGCUCGAUUGAAAGAAGCUUCGCGAUCUUGAUUUCCUUUCUAUUUUGCAUAUGAAAUUAAAAUGGGGGCAAUCCCUUGAUUGUGAUUAAUCAAUCAUUAGAUGGUUUGACUUAUCAAAUUAUCUAUCGGCCCGUGAAAAGAUUCAACAAAAGACAGAAACGAAUUCACCAUCCAUUUACGUCAAGCAAUACGUCGAGUAACUUCCAAUAUAACAGCAAAAGCAAGAUGUGUAGGUGGAUCGACUCAUCAAGUUCCCAAUUAAAUAUUAUUGUAUACGUAGAUCUGAUUUUGAAAGAUUUGAUUUUGUCACUGAAUAAUUCAUGGGUAGAGCCAAAGAGCGUGAACUAUACAA